rnacentral:rRNA from 1 species
UACGAAGGGGGCUAGCGUUGUUCGGAUUUACUGGGCGUAAAGCGCACGUAGGCGGAUCGUUAAGUCGGGGGUGAAAUCCUGGAGCUCAACUCCAGAACUGCCUUCGAUACUGGCGAGCUUGAGUCCGGAAGAGGUGAGUGGAACUCCUAGUGUAGAGGUGGAAUUCGUAGAUAUUAGGAAGAACACCAGUGGCGAAGGCGGCUCACUGGUCCGGUACUGACGCUGAGGUGCGAAAGCGUGGGGAGCAAACAGG